AAGAUUGCCAAAGAACCAGGCAACGUGAGUAUCCAGGUGCACAGAAUCGUCAGGAAUUGUGGAUUCUAUCAGGAUGCAACACUGUAUUUAGUCAUCAUGACUCCUUCAUCACCUCCUGCUUUGACACUUUCAGAAUUUCUUCAUUUUAGAUGACCUUGGCAGUUUUUAGGAGUGCUGGUCAGGUAUUUUGUAAAAUGUUUCUCAUUUGGGAUUUGUCUGAUUUUUUCUCGUGAUUAGACUGAAGUUAAGAGUAAGAAGAAGACAACAGAGAUAAGGAGAUAGGAAGAAUUGAUUUGAGAUCGACUUGGAAAUCAGCUUCAUGGAAGUGAGAGUUGAUACUGUGAGAAACGAAAGUAUAAAGAGAGAUGAGAAGUACUUGGACUAAAGUUCAAAUAAUACCGACUUCUGGCAGAGAGCAAAAAGAAUGAACCAAGCAGAAGGGAACAGAAUCCGGAAUUGGCACUAUGUCAAACUGCACUGAUCCACCUCUCCAGGACUGGGAAAACUAGAAAUGAGCCGAUGAAAAUCAGGAGACUGAAGUAAAAUUAUGUCAUUUGCUUUUCUUAAAUGUCUAGUCAAUCGUUGUCUGUUUUUCUUGACCUGAUAUUUACAGAGUUGCUCAAUAAGUUCUAGUAGUUAAUACAAAGUCUUUUUGUUUGGUUUUUUUUUUUUUUUGGUCUAUGGACAUGAAAUAUGGAUAAAUGUAAGCCAAAGACUUUACAAGGAAAGGAGUUGUUUGUUCAUCCCAACUUACAAUAAAACUAAACAAAAAGUUAUUGACUGUCUUCCAUUAAUUAAAGCAGUUUCAUCUCCUAUGAGCACCCACUAAAUACCCUGAAUUUAUUCUAAAAACUUCAAACACUCAGCUCACCAGCUUUAGCCUGAUACUGUCCACCACCUGAACACAUUGAAUUUUUACCUAUUCCUGAAGGACACGUCCAACUCCCCUGGUUUUCCUGCUUACCUUUGUUUCUUUCUCCUUUCUCUUUCCUCAUCUCUUCCUCCUUCCAAUCCCUAGUAUCUUCUCUGAUAAAAUUAAUUGCUAGUAACAUUUACUGUCACUUUCAAACUGACCCUUUGGGCACCUUUAUCUGAGUAGAACCAGUUUAGUAAGUGUAAAUACAAUCAUUCAAUGAACAUAUAUUCCGAACCUACAUGUUACAGGGCACUGUACUAAGCUACAGAAAAACAAAGUUACAAUGAAGUGUUCGGUCUACUGCAGGAUAUCCCAUUUUUCCUGAAUUCAGUUUAAAUAUUCAGAUAACUAUGGCCAUACAAAAAGUAUUUCCCCCUGGUAGAGGCUGGGAGUGUAAGAACCAGCCUAUACUCUGUAGCUAAAAUUUGAAGAUAUAACUUCAAAUUUUAAGUUCAAGUUAUAGCUCCAAAUUUUAGCUACAGAGGAGCCAUUUGGAGUCAUCUGUCACACCUUAAAAACUCUAAACUCAAUAGCUUAUAAGAUCCUCAAGCGACUGAUAAAGAAGGCUGGACAAAUCAGGACCCCACUGAAAGGACUACAGUUUGAUAUAGUUCAUGUUUAAUGCAAAAAUGCAUGGCUAAAUUUUGUUGCCUAGAAUUUUAUAGACAUGGAUAGAAACAUUUUAUUAUUAAGCCACUCAUUUCAAGCCAUAUUGCCAAUGGCUUGCAGUCUCUAAAGGAAAACUACAUAUUUCAAAUCAGUUUAAUCUAAAAUACUCUCCGGCCUUGCUAAUUGUUUUUUAGUUUCUUAUUUUCUGUUCAAAUAAAACAGGAUAAUAAAGUACUGGUAUCUUAAAUUCUUAUAAAAGUCAUAAUAGUAUAUCUUCUUUUUUUUGUCAGUGGAUCAUUUCAAUACUGGCAAGUAGGUCAUAUAAAUGUCAUAUAUCUGGCCAAUAUCUAAAGUUAUUUUUAAUAUUUCCAAUUGCUAAAGAAAAUUAUAUCUGAAGAAUUGUUAUUGAUAGAAAUUUUGCCCUCUACCAAUACUAAAUUGUGUCAUCUAUAUAAAACUACUGCUUUUCUUUAAAAUAAAAAUUUUAAUAACUUCCAGUUCUUAUUUGUUGUUCUUUUACAUAAGCUACGAGUAAUUAUUUUGCCUGAAUAUUUUAAUCUUGUUUUUACUCCUAAAAUUUACCCAGUUAAUAAUGCAUGUAUAGUGAUUUUAAUUGGUAUGGUUUGUAAUUAUGCAUAUUCAGAUUAAACAAGACAAAUGGCAGGACUCGUAAUGGCAUCAUAUUAAAAAUAUAAUACGUUUAAAAUAUAUUUAAAAGUAUAAUUAUAAAAAAGAAUGAGAGCUAUUUUAAAAUGUUUUCUAGAUAUAAAUAAUCACAUUUACUAAAGGGUAUUACAGAAAUCCCAUAAGCAAAAGAUAUUACAAAGGAUUAUUUAGAGAAACAAUUGGAACUCAGACUUCUUGAUAACUACUUGCUACUGCUGACCAAAUACAAACUGAGUGUAAUCUACCAUGAUUAAUUGCUUGUGUUUUUUUCAAAACUGUGUAAUUGAGAAACAGUGUAAUCAAUGAUAUAAAUGUAACUCCAAUGUAUCUUUUAUACACAACUUUAAUGGCUUUUAUUCUCUCUAACUUUUCCUAUACAUAAGAGCAAACUGUAUUUGCAAAAGAUCAGUUUCUUUUAUUGCCCUGAUCCCAGAUAAAUUGUAAUUUUUUAUCACAUAAAGCAUAGAAAUAUAUAUGAAGAUGGAAAAUUAAAACAUGUCUUAUUUGAUAGUCUGACUGAAUUGAGGUGGCAAAUGGGCUCUUGAAUAUAACACACUAAACAAAUAUAAGAAGUUGUUAUUAUAUCUUAAUAAAAGCCCAAAAUAAAUAAA